rnacentral:rRNA from 1 species
GAUGAACGCUGGCGGCGUGCCUAAUACAUGCAAGUCGAGCGAAUGGAUUAAGAGCUUGCUCUUAUGAAGUUAGCGGCGGACGGGUGAGUAACACGUGGGUAACCUGCCCAUAAGACUGGGAUAACUCCGGGAAACCGGGGCUAAUACCGGAUAACAUUUUGGACCGCAUGGUUCGAAAUUGAAAGGCGGCUUCGGCUGUCACUUAUGGAUGGACCCGCGUCGUAUUAGCUAGUUGGUGAGGUAACGGCUCACCAAGGCAACGAUGCGUAGCCGACCUGAGAGGGUGAUCGGCCACACUGGGACUGAGACACGGCCCAGACUCCUACGGGAGGCGGCAGUAGGGAAUCUUCCGCAAUGGACGAAAGUCUGACGGAGCAACGCCGCGUGAGUGAUGAAGGCUUUCGGGUCGUAAAACUCUGUUGUUAGGGAAGAACAAGUGCUAGUUGAAUAAGCUGGCACCUUGACGGUACCUAACCAGAAAGCCACGGCUAACUACGUGCCAGCCGCCGCCGUAA